rnacentral:rRNA from 1 species
GGGCGAAUGUCUUGUAAUUGGAAUGAUGGUGACCCAAACCCUCACCAGAGUAGCAAUUGGAGGGCAAGUCUGGUGCCAGCAGCCGCGGUAAUUCCAGCUCCAAUAGCGUAUAUUAAACUUGUUGCAGUUAAAAAGCUCGUAGUUGUAUUUUUGCGUUGACGGUUUGACCAUUUGGUUGGUUAUUUCGUUUUCGCUUUUGGGAAUUUCCCUUUUUACUUUGAGAAAAUUAGAGUGUUUCAAGCAGACUUUUGUCUUGAAUACUUCAGCAUGGAAUAAUAGAGUAGGACUUUGGUUCUAUUUUGUUGGUUAUUGAACCUUAGUAAUGGUUAAUAGGAACGGUUGGGGGCAUUCGUAUUUAAA